UACUAAGGUGACAGAAUAAAACUGUCAUAAACAUUACUAAGCAUCACAGUGUGUAUAUUAAAAUUCAGAUGAAUUAAAUUUCUAUAACAUUUUCUAAUAAAUUACAUUUUUCACUUAUAAUGAAUAAAUAAAAAUACAAAUCUUACCCCCAAAUUGUCAUGGUACAAUAGCAAGUAAAGGAAUUGAACUGGGGAGACAAAUGCUAUAGUUCCAUUUAACCAUUAACUUGCCCUGCUAUAGUAGAGUUUAGGUUUUGCUUUGAGAAGACAUAAACACAUGUCCACACAGUCAUAGUAGUAGUAGUAGUAUUAGGAUAGUUAAGAGUAUAGACUUUAGAAUGGAAGAAAAAUAAAUUUUAAUCUACACUCUGACACGUAAUCUUGGGCAAAUUAGCCAAGAUUUAGUUUAGUUACCUAUCUAUAAAUGAGAAUAAUAAUGCCAUGUUAAUAGGAUUAUCAUGGGAUUAAAUUUUAAGAUGCAAGUAAAGAAUAUGACAUAGAACCAGAUACAUAGUAAGUAAUCAAUAAUAAUGUUAGGGGAGAACCAAGAUGGC